AUUGAACGCUGGCGGCAGGCUUAACACACGCAAGUCGAGCGGAGAUGAGGUGCUUGCACCUUAUCUUAGCGGCGGACGGGUGAGUAAUGCUUAGGAAUCUGCCUAUUAGUGGGGGACAACAUUCCGAAAGGAAUGCUAAUACCGCAUACGUCCUACGGGAGAAAGCAGGGGAUCUUCGGACCUUGCGCUAAUAGAUGAGCCUAAGUCGGAUUAGCUAGUUGGUGGGGUAAAGGCCUACCAAGGCGACGAUCUGUAGCGGGUCUGAGAGGAUGAUCCGCCACACUGGGACUGAGACACGGCCCAGACCCCUACGGGAGGCAGCAGUGGGGAAUAUUGGACAAUGGGCGGAAGCCUGAUCCAGCCAUGCCGCGUGUGUGAAGAAGGCCUUUUGGUUGUAAAGCACUUUAAGCGAGGAGGAGGCUACCUAGAUUAAUACUCUGGGAUAGUGGACGUUACUCGCAGAAUAAGCACCGGCUAACUCUGUGCCAGCCGCCGCGGUAAUAC
rnacentral:rRNA from 1 species